GUGGAGCAGCUUGGUAGCUCGUCGGGCUCAUAACCCGAAGGUCGUCGGUUCAAAUCCGGCCCCCGCAACCA
rnacentral:tRNA from 1 species